rnacentral:rRNA from 1 species
UACGGAGGGGGCUAGCGUUGUUCGGAAUUACUGGGCGUAAAGCGCGCGUAGGCGGCUUGUCGCGUCGGAUGUGAAAGCCCGGGGCUUAACUCCGGGUCUGCAUUCGAUACGGGCAGGCUCGAGUUCGGUAGGGGAGACUGGAAUUCCUGGUGUAGCGGUGAAAUGCGCAGAUAUCAGGAGGAACACCGGUGGCGAAGGCGGGUCUCUGGGCCGAUACUGACGCUGAGGAGCGAAAGCGUGGGGAGCGAACAGG